CAUCUAUUAUUUUUCUGGAGUUUGAGUAUCUACUAGAACAACCUUUAAUUUUCCCUUAUUGCCUAUUCUUAUCAUUGCCCAGCCACCAUCACAAAUGAAAAAAGGAUGGAGAAGAACAAGUCUGGAUGUUGGGUUGGGGACAAUCCAGUAAGACUCUGGAGUGGUUCCGGGUUGGAGCAAGUUGAAAGGCAUCAAUGUUCUGGGCUGUGAUGUCACCUUCAAUGUGACCUUGGGUCAUUCUCAAGAUCCACCCCACAUCCCCAUAACCUGGGGGUUUUUACAUUCCCAGGAUCUUUGCCCACCAAGGCCACUGCCCUUUCCCAAAGCAUCUUGUUUCCACAGAGUCUGAAGUUCACAUACUAAUGUUCUGGAGUGAUGGACUCUCUCUUAAGUAUCUUGUUUACAGUCUCAUGCUGUGCAUUUUUUUUUUUUUUACCAUGUCUGCAUGGGAUAUGGCAAAGGGUUUGGUUUAGUGUAGAUAAAAAGAAUGCUGCAGAAUCAUUCGCUAGAACCUUUAGCAUAUGAUUGCAAAGUUGGUGGGUCUUUCUCUUUUUCUCUCUAUCUCAAAGUUCAGGGCAAGUAUAAUAAUAAGUUAUUGUGUUUGGAAACAAAUUCAUGCUUAAGCAUUCUUAUGUUAUAUCCCCUCUCUGUUCCCCAGACGUGGUAUGACAUCUACUUGUGGACACACUCUGCUUUCUGGUUUUUCUGUUUCUGAUUAGAAACUCAAAAACAAUAUGAGAAACAUACCUGAAAACAGCAGAAGAUCUGGAUCAUUCCGGCCAGCAAUUCAAAGUCUGCCAAAGGGAAAUCAAGUAUUGUAGAAACCUACGGGGCCUCUCAGAGCAUUUUACCAGAACUGUGGCAGGGUGACUGAUUGUGGUAUUCUCUUUGUAUUCUCUAUGCUGAAUCAUUUGCCAGAACUUCCAAUAUAUGAUUGCAAAACUAGACUUUUUUAAUGUUAUCUUGUCUCAGAUUUCUAAGCCUGAAAGAUUGAGGCUGUUGCUGAACGAUGCUUAAUUAACCAAGGCAUUGAGCUCCAACCAUGAGGCUUUGAGGAGUUUGAUAUCUAGCCCCUCUUGGCAUCAUAUGCUAAGACUGGCUGUGAGGCUAUGAGAAUCUUAAGUACCUGCACGCUGUUCAUAAGUGGUACUCUAAAACUCCUGAGGAAAUAAGGGAGACUGGAAUUAGUGGGAUUAGCUUGUGGGAUUAGCUUGUGUCCUUUGGCUUAGCCUCUUUCUCUCCAGAAAUUUCACUUUUGGCUCAGUCCUCACAGGGGAAGAAAGUCUUGUCCAAAGAUGGCGUCUACCCUGUGCUCCACUGUGUAUCCCAGAGGAGAGCAUCUUUACUGUGGAAUGGACUUCCAGCUGACUCAUGUUGGGGAAAGGUGAGCUGGGGCAUAGGCACCUCAUAGCUAGCUUCUAAUAAUCUGAGGUUCUCAUUUGGUAGCAGAAUUAGUUGUUUUGAGCAUGACUCUGGUGAAGGAGAAAUCAAGGAAGAGGGACAGAAAGGGCAUUAAUAUGAAUCCCUAUCUUACUGUAUUACAAAGCGUAUAAAAGCGGGUUUAUAUAUGUUAUCUCAUUGCAUUCUGUACAUGCUGUAUGGCAGUUAACCUUGAUCACAUUUUAAAAUGAAAGACUCAGAGAUAUUAAGUGAUGUGCCCCAGGUCACAUGGUUACAAAAAGUGUACACACACACUACAUGCCUGAAAAGCUGCAAACUUUCCUCUCUAUCAGUCUUAGAAGUGGGGAAGCUUCUUCUAAGUUGGCAAUUUCAACUCAGCGAAGCAAAGUGCCCUCACAAUUAGAGUUCUCUUGGGAAUGGCUGUUCUGGUGAGCCCGUGUACUUUCUCUCCAGGGAGUUGUUGCAACAGUGGCUGGAAAACAUCUUAGGGCAACUGGGAGGUUAUCAUGAGCAUGCACAUAAGAUCUUUUAAGACCUCUUGCAACUGUGAGCAUUUGCCUCUCAGCUGGAAGAGAUCUGAUCUGGGAUUCGAUUGCCAAUUUCUGGGCCUCUUACCAUCACCUAUCAAAAGAGGAUAUGGGCUACAAUACAGGUUUUAAAAUGUUUUUAACUAUAGAAUCCUUUCUUCAAAUGGAUUAUGUAUGUGUUAAGGUAGCUUUUUGAAAUCAUAUGUCUAUAUUUAUCUAUAUUCUGUAUACCUAAACCUAUAUCUCUAUUUUUACAUAUCUAUUUACACAUAUCUUUAUAUAUCUUUACUUAUCUUUACAUAUGUAUUUACA
rnacentral:lncRNA from 10 species